rnacentral:hammerhead_ribozyme from 1 species
AUACAGUUGACGAGUCCCAAAAAUAGAAGGAAACGCGCGUUCUGGAU